UACGGAGGGAGCGAACGUUGUUCGGAUUUACUGGGCGUAAAGGGUGUGUAGGCGGUCUUGCAAGUCAGGGGUGAAAUCUCUCGGCUCAACCGAGAAACUGCCUUUGAGACUGCAGGACUUGAGGGCGUGAGAGGAGACUGGAAUUCCUAGUGUAGCGGUGAAAUGCAUAGAUAUUAGGAGGAACACCAGUGGCGAAGGCGAGUCUCUGGCACGCAUCUGACGCUGAAACACGAAAGCCAGGGGAGCAAACGGG
rnacentral:rRNA from 1 species